GCCUGACGGAGCAAUACCGCGUGAGGGAUGACUGCCUAUGGGUUGUAAACCUCUUUUUUCAGGGAGGAAUAAAUGACGUGUACCUGAAGAAUAAGCAUCGGCUAACUCCGUGCCAGCAGCCGCGGUAAGACGGAGGAUGCAAGUGUUAUCCGGAAUCACUGGGCGUAAAGCGUCUGUAGGUGGCUCGACAAGUCAACUGUUAAAUCUUGAAGCUCAACUUCAAAAUCGCAGUCGAAACUAUCGGACUAGAGUAUAGUAGAGGUAAAGGGAAUUUCCAGUGGAGCGGUGAAAUGCGUAGAGAUUGGAAAGAACACCGAUGGCGAAGGCACUUUACUGGGCUAUUACUGACACUCAGAGACGAAAGCUAGGGUAGCAAAUGGGAUUAGAUACCCCAGUAGUCCUAGCCGUAAACAAUGGAUACUAGGUGUUGAACAGAUCGACCUGUGCAGUACCAAAGCUAACGCGUUAAGUAUCCCGCCUGGGAAGUAUGCACGCAAGUGUGAAACUCAAAGGAAUUGACGGGGGCCCGCACAAGCGGUGGAGCAUGUGGUUUAAUUCGAUGCAACGCGAAGAACCUUACCAGGGUUUGACAUGAUACGAAUUUUUUUGAAAGAAAAAAGUGCCUUUUGGAACGU
rnacentral:rRNA from 1 species